rnacentral:lncRNA from 1 species
AGAGGCACGUGCCAUAGGGUUGUCUUUGAGUCGGCCCAAAGUCACGCCAACCCAUCGGAUCGUUCUUCGCAGUUCUGAAACUUCACCCCCCUUAGAUCGCUCCACAGGCACGAUCAGGUCUAAAUGUAGUGUGACCAGCUACAUCGACAAGGGAAAGGUCACGAUGCCAUCUGUAUGGUCUUGCUAUUGUUCUUUCCUCACAAUGGGAGUACUGCAUUAGUAGGAGCAGACUUAGUAGGACUAGCCUGGGAUAGUCCUUCCUUUCAUAGACGACUGGAACAAACCUAGCGCAGACAUCGCGGUCCCUUCUUCUUGUUGCAUUGCGUGACCUUGGCAAGCUAUACUUGAAACCUACUCACACUAAUUCUUACCCCAUAGAACCAAUGUCUCCCCCUUCCUUCUUUCUUUGCUGUCAACCAGCUUCGUACUUUGUUGGAAAAGACACUACUCCGCCCUUCCUCUUCUCUUCUUAUGGUUUUAGACUCCUUUCUUUCAUGGAAAUAGGAGUCUUCAGCCUGAUGAAAAGCCUUUUCGUCAUCAACCUUCCUCUGCCAAUUUCGAUUUCUAUUGGUACAAGCGAUUUGAUUCAUUUAUGGCAGCAUGUGCAUCGUCACGGAUAGGACAUUAAGGAUCGAACUCUCCGAAUCAGACAGAGGGUGAUCAAAUGAGAAGGACACUGCACAGUCUACAAUAACAGCCGUUUCAGUUAAUUCGGAAGCAGGAAGCUCGCUUGAUUCGCAGAUUGGGUAAAUAUUUGAUAUAAAAAGCGAAAGAAUCGCA